GCGGCGGGCCGGAUCUCUCGCGGCGGCGGCUGCUCCGUACCCUUCCUCUCCAUGGCGGAGACAUGCGCGGCACACGCGACUCCGGACGCUGCGCCGCGACUACAGCCAUCCUCGCCGCUCCCGACGGUCCGCGCGUGGGGAAUCCACGGCGGAGAUGACAUCGGUCGUCACGGAGGGGGCCUGCUGCGGCAGCCGCCGUCCCCUCCGCGGAUACCCCAUGCGCGGCGCACGCGACUCCGGAUGCUGCGGCGGCUGCCGUCUCCUCCGCGGAUCCCCCAUGCGCGGCGCACGCGACUACCGCCAUCCCCGCCGCUCCCGAUAGCCCGUGCGCGACUCGCGCGGCGAGGGGCACGGGAGCAGCAGCGCAGGGACGACGGUGGAGCCGCGGUGGCGCGCCCUUCCCCGCCGCCACCCUUCCCCGCUGCGGAGGCGCUGAACUACCCAUCCCCUCCCUCGCCUCCCCUCCUUUUCCCCACCCUGCCUUCGGCGCGACAGGUCGCUGCGUCAGCGUCGAGCAGCGGCGGCAGUGAGCGCCACACUUCCCCUCUCACGCCAGGCUCUCCCGACGGAGGGGCCGCGGCGGCAGGGUGACGCAGAUAUGCGGCUAGCCGGGCAGUGGCGUGAGAGGGGCCGUGCGGAUUACAUCAGGUCUCCAGGUGCUCGACCUCUCCUACAACCGCUAUUAUUCUGAAUGAUUUCUUGUAUCGCAUUGAAGAUGGGCGGGGACGAAGCUAGGGCUGGCGAAUUCACAUGGUAUGAGCUGUCAUUUUCUGUUGCAUUUACCUGCUACACAGUGUGCCCCUCAAAUGUUCGUCAAAAUGCCAAAACAAACAAGGGCACUGGACACACUUUGUUUGGUAGAAUGCUGAUCACACCCUUCUUUCAGUGCGGAAGCAAAUGAGAAAAGAUGGAGUUGUGCAAGAGCUAGGAAGCAAUUUCAGGUUGAUAGUGGUGAAAGAGGGCAGCAACCUCAAGGUAGGCGGCCAAGCGGCGACUCGGUCUCCAUCUCGGUUGGUCGCCAUAAUUUUUUGUUGAUAUCUCCUCUCCGUUAUUAUUCCCUGUCCAUGCCUCCCACUGGUAGCUCAGAUGGCAGCUACCAGCGACGGUGGUGAGCUUGCCGACGCUUCGUGCCUGCCGCCGAUCAAGCCACAAAUUGUUUCAUGUGCCCAUCCACCUGUUACCUUGAAAAUUAUGUUAUCUCUAUUGCCUCUCUAGGAUACGGAAGGGUGAUUGCUUCCAUUUUACCUGCAAAAAUAGUUAAUCAUUCAUUAUUUUUUUCUUGAGCUUUAUUGGAGAACUUGACUGAUUGGUGGUGUCCAAUAAGAGUACUUUUUGCUCAGAUUAAUGAAGUAAAUUCCAUUCAAUUGCUGAUUGUUCCUGUUGAUAGUCUGCUGGCUAUAUUAGCAACUAACUAUUCCAUUUUAGUGACUCGUGCUUAAAAUUAUAUUUUAACGAACUCCAGCAGCAGAUGUUGGAUAGUUAGCUUUCUUUGCUAGAAUUUUUCAAUGCACUAUUUUAUUUUUACUUCAUGGAUUCAUGGAUGUGGACUUAUCUUAAUGUGAUCUAAUAAGGAUCUUGUCUCUAGGCUAAGGAAACUAGACAUGAACAAAAAGGGCAGGUACUUUUUGGCUAAAACAAUAUUUCAGAAAUGUUCAUGCUUUGCAGUUUGAAAAUGAUGGCAAUUUUGUUGUAAGAUAUUUAUGCUCUUGUUCAUGUCAUAAUAGCAUCCAUUACAGUGCAGUGGCACCAAAAUGCUUAGCAUGGUAGAGUUUUGGAAGCAGUAACAUUGAUAGUUAAAAGGUUCGGAGAUUAUUUUAGGAAUCACUAGCAUUGCUAUAUUAGAAAAUUUGAACAUAUGAAAUAUGGAUUUACCUUUUGUACAAGGUUACAUGCUAGACGAGGAAGUGUAUUAAGUGGAACAUCUUGAAUGCAAGAACCUUGCUUUGCAUAUUUCGAGUAGAUUUCAAUAGCAUAAAUACUCAGGUUUCUUACUUAUGAAAGAUUGCAGUGGUCCAGUUACAAUGCAAUGCGAUGAACUAUUUGUGGUUUGUUCUUAACUCGCAGAUUCUCAAUGGUGCUCUUGCUGCCCAUGAAUUAAAGCUACGUAUUUUGCAGAGCAAGUUGUGCAUUGUUCUCCGUCAAUCCAUCAAAUUGGAUAGAUCAAAUAGUUCAGUCCAAUUUGGCAGCUUAUACUUUUAGUUGAUUAAUUAAUGUUGAGGUAAAAAUUUUUGAAUUUUCCUAAUGAACUGUGCAUGUCUUUCAAAGAAUGUGGUUGAUGUAUUCCUUCUUCUGCUCGACAGCUUGAGACUGAGAUCUCAAUCUCAGGUAAGAAAAUAUGCACCGGGACAGCUACAAAGUUAGAGAGCUUGUAUGCAUUUCUCUCAUUAGCUCAAGGUUAAACAAUGUUUUUCUUUCAUUUUAAUUUUACAUCCUUAAUUCACAAAAUAAUUCUUUUUACAAAGUUUUUGUUGCUUCUCAUUGAUGACUUGUGAUGUAGAACCCUAGGCCGUUCAAACUUUAUUCAGGAGGACUGGCAUGGAAGAAGCACGGGGGAGGAAAGAUCAUUGAGGUUGAUAAAGCUGAUAUCACAUCCGUGACAUGGAUGAGAAUUCCUAAAUCCUAUCAGCUUAGUGUUGGGACAAGGGAAGGGCUCUGUUACAGGUUCUUUGGCUUCUGUGAACAGGAUGUUAGCGUCCUGACUAACUUCAUACUAAAGAUCAUGGGAAUCACUCCAUUAGUGGGCAUAAUUGGGGUGGAAUUGCAAUAAAUGGGAAUAUGCUUUGCUUUAAUGUCGGUUCAAAGGAAGCAUUUCAAGUCUCUCUAGCAGAUGUGUCGGCAGAGUCAGAUGCAAGGGAAAACAGAUGUCAUCCUAGAUUUCCAUGUCAAUGAUACUACUGGGAAUAAUGAGCUGCUCAAGUCCUCACAUUGUGAUGCCCUAAAAAAAAAGUCCUCACAUUGUGAUUCAGGUGUUGUACUACCAGUCAAUUUUCAACACUAAAUUGGAUCAAAUGUUCAUUCAAUAGAAAAUUAAUCUCCUAAUUGUAUGAACAGUUUGAGACAGAGACAGUGGUUGAAUGGAGUGCAUACGUUCAACUUACUUUUAUUACUGGCUAUCUAACUUGUGCAAGCCUGGGUCCCAGCCUAGGUUGGCCAAACCCUCUGGGUCUUGUUUACCACUGUGUGGAUCCUUAUGUUAUUUUCAUCUGUCCCUACACUCCAGGUUUUUAAUAUGCUUAUCCCUUACACUGCUUGCAUGUAUGUACUCGGUGCCUUCGUUAAUCUCUGUGGGUUGAAAGUGUCAAUCUUCCAAUGCCAACAUAUAUCCUUCAAUAUGAUGCACCAUUGAGCUUAUUUUAUUCAUUUCAUCAGUUCUUUUGGAUCCAAAAUGUAUUUGUGUAUGGUACCUUAUUUACACUGACCCAUUUCCUGUAGCAAUUUCUUAUUUAUAUGAUGUACAGUCUGUGAUCACCAGAUUCUACAUAUUUACUUGGUGCGCUGCCAUUCUGUUAUUUUGUGCAGGACUCCUCCGCUAGGAGCUGAUCCACCAGCACCAAGAUGUGGACCGAUGCCGGCAAAAAGGAUCCAGUGGAGCAUGACCCUCUUCCAUCAAGUACCUACAGGAUGGGAAUGAGGUUGCUAAGAAGUCAUUUGUUACACCACCAAGGUUCUUUAGUGUUGACAAGGCGAGAGAACGCUUGCCUUCAGUGAAAAGGAUCUCUGUAAAUAUUUCAAUCCUGGAGACCAUGUAAAGGUCGUAUCCGGAGUUCAAGAAGGCGCAACAGGCAUGGUUGUUAAUGUGGAAGGGCGUAUUUUGAUCAUUUUAUCAGACACACACUACCAAAGGACAUAUCCGCAUGUUUGCAGAUUAUGUUGUGGAGAGUUCUGAGGUCACCAUAGGGAUUACAAGAAUAGGUGGAGAGGCUGGCAACUGGCUUUGGUCCUAUCUACCAGAUGUUUUGGUGAGCGUCUCCAGGGGAGGGGAUGAGGUCAGAAGACGAUAGAGACGAACUGAUUUUCACUGCAAUGAGCUAGAGUCGGUCAGGCCAAAGAAAAACGAGAAGCUCAAGAUAAUGAACGGGUCCAUGCGUGGAGUCACGGGGAAACUAAUUGGAGUUGAUGGGUCUGUUGGCAUCGUGAGAGUGGAAUGUAGCUUAGACGUGAAAAUAGUAGACAUGGUUAUUCUGGGCAAAGUGGCUGCUUGAGGUGCUGUACAGUCGAUAUUCUUAGUUGAAUACCCAAUCUAACUUAUCUA